rnacentral:lncRNA from 1 species
GUGAGUUCUAGACUUGUGCGUUGAUAGAAUUUUUGAAUAAAUGUUUGGCUCAUAAUUAUUUGACACCUGAUUCUUGCACCCUAGGCUAGCUUCUUCAUAAUCUGAAAACCUCAAAUCAAACAUGUUACUUGAUAGUUAUGAUUUCUUUUAGUUCUAAAUCGGCGAUUUUUUAGCUUGACAUUGAACCCAUAAAAACGAAGCGUAAACUGAUCCUCUAGAAAAGACUCAAUUUUAUAAUUACCACUGUCAAUCAAUUUUAGUGCAUUAAUCAAUCAUCAAGCCAUCCCUUUGGUCUAUGGGACAGAAAUUUAAGAGCAAUCAUCAGGGCACCUUCAACAGAGCAAGUCCAUUGGCAAGUUCUAGAUGAGUAUUUAGAAAAUUAAAAAAAUUAAAAAAAUGAAGAAAAACAUGAGAGAGACAAUUAAAAGAGUUCUCAAAUAAGGAACUUGUAGAACCUCAUGAGAUACUUUUAUUGGCAUGUGUCAGUUUGUAUCUGGUUUGGUUAUUUUUUUUAAU